rnacentral:rRNA from 1 species
CCUACGGGUGGCAGCAGUGAGGAAUAUUGGUCAAUGGACGCAAGUCUGAACCAGCCAUGCAGCGUGAAGGAUGACUGCCCUAUGGGUUGUAAACUUCUUUUAUACAGGAGUAAACCGAGACACGUGUGUCUUUCUGCAUGUACUUUACGAAUAAGGAUCGGCUAACUCCGUGCCAGCAGCCGCGGUAAUACGGAGGAUACGAGCGUUAUCCGGAUUUAUUGGGUUUAAAGGGUGCGUAGGUGGUGGGUUAAGUUAGUUGUGAAAUUUUGAGGCUCAACGUUAGAAUUGCAAUUGAUACUGGUAGGCUAGAGAGUAGUUGAGGUAGGCGGAAUGUAUGGUGUAGCGGUGAAAUGCUUAGAGAUCAUAAAGAACACCGAUUGCGAAGGCAGCUUACUAAGCUAUGACUGACGUUGAGGCACGAAAGUGUGGGGAGCAAACAGGAUUAGAUACCCUGGUAGUC